rnacentral:tRNA from 1 species
GGUGGCUCAGUGGUAGAGCGUCUGCCUUGCAUGCAUGAGGCCCUGGGUUCGAUUCCUCAGUACCA